UCCCUGGUGGUCCAGGGGUUAAGACUCCGAGUUCCCAAUGCAGGGAGCCCGGGUUCGAUCCCUGGUCAGGGAA
rnacentral:tRNA from 1 species